rnacentral:rRNA from 1 species
ACACAUGCAAGUCGAACGAGAGAGAGGGAGCUUGCUUCCUCAAUCGAGUGGCGAACGGGUGAGUAACGCGUGAGGAACCUGCCUCAAAGAGGGGGACAACAGUUGGAAACGACUGCUAAUACCGCAUAAGCCCACAGGUCGGCAUCGACCAGAGGGAAAAGGAGCAAUCCGCUUUGAGAUGGCCUCGCGUCCGAUUAGCUAGUUGGUGAGGUAACGGCCCACCAAGGCAACGAUCGGUAGCCGGACUGAGAGGUUGAACGGCCACAUUGGGACUGAGACACGGCCCAGACUCCUACGGGAGGCAGCAGUGGGGAAUAUUGCACAAUGGGGGAAACCCUGAUGCAGCGACGCCGCGUGGAGGAAGAAGGUCUUCGGAUUGUAAACUCCUGUUGUUGAGGAAGAUAAUGACGGUACUCAACAAGGAAGUGACGGCUAACUACGUGCCAGCAGCCGCGGUAAAACGUAGGUCACAAGCGUUGUCCGGAAUUACUGGGUGUAAAGGGAGCGCAGGCGGGAAGACAAGUUGGAAGUGAAAUCUAUGGGCUCAACCCAUAAACUGCUUUCAAA